UGGGACUCUCUGCUGGGAGCAGCGGCCGCGCGAGGAGGGGGGAAAGACGGUCAGAGGCUGCACUGUUCACGGCGGCUCUCCGCUGAGACAGCAACGACGUACGGCUACAGCUGAAGCCGGCACCCAAAAGGAGAUGGACUGAUGGAGGAGGACCGUGCUGGGGUCAACACAGAUUCAACGCUCCCUGUAUACGACACGACGUACUCGUAGGCCGUAGCCCAUUCAUCAAUUUGAUGGACACGAGCAGUUGGCAUUUACAAAUACUGUACGUGACGAAGCAUCAUGCACUGUCUCAAAACGCAUCUAGCUUUCCGCUGCUGUCUCCUCUUGUUUGUCAUGAGGCUCCAAGAUCACCAUUAUAUUACUGCCGGCCGUUCAGAACAAACUGAAGAAUGCCCAUUGCAUGCUGCCACAGCUGGGAUAUAAAUGUCCGAUCCGAUCAGAUCAGUUAACCUCUUGUACCGUAUCUAUGUAUUGCAUCAUAUCAUGUCGUACUGGAAAACACUCUGGACUUGAUCUUAGGAUUAGUAUCUUUAUGUGUGUGUACGCUGCAUGCCAGCUGAUAUAUAUCAUCAGUGUAUGUGUGU